AUUGAACGCUGGCGGCAGGCCUAACACAUGCAAGUCGAGAGAGCGGCGGACGGGUGAGUAAUGUAUGGGGACUGCCCGAUAGAGGGGGAUAAAUACUGGAAACGGUAGCUAAUACUGCAUACUACCGGAUAACCAAUAUGGGAUUAGCUAUUGGGUGGGGUAAUGGCCCACAUAGGCGACGAUCCCUAGCUGGUCUGAGAGGAUGUUCAGCCCCACUGGAACUGGGACACGGCCCGGACUCCUACGGAGGCAGCAGUGGGGAAUAUUGCACAAGGGGCGAAAGCCUGAUGCAGCCAUGCCGCGUGUAUGAAGAAGGCCCUAGGAUUGGAAAGUACUUUCAGUCGGGAGGCGUUACCGAAAGAAGAAGCACCGGCUAACUCCGUGCCAGCCGCCGCGGUAAUAC
rnacentral:rRNA from 1 species